GCCUGGCUGGCUCAGUUGGUGGAGCAUGUGACUCUAGAUCUCAAGGUCAUGAGUUUGAGCCCCAUGAUGGGCA
rnacentral:tRNA from 1 species